rnacentral:tRNA from 1 species
UGGCUCAGUGGUAGAGUGCUUGCCUUGCAUGUAUGAGGCCUUGGGUUCAAUUCCUUA